UGGUAGCGGCCGUAGGAGCGAGGGGACGAGGUGGUGGCAGCGCCGUUGGAGGGGUCUAGGGGCGGUGACGCGCUGGAGGGUCUGGAGGGGUGGCGGCGCGGUGUUGGCCUGGGGGCUGGAGGGAUGGUGGCGGUGCCGGCGUGGGGCGGAGGAGGUGGCAGCAGCCUCAAGGAGGAGGGGGCAGCGGUCUCUCGGUGGAGGGUUCCGUGGAGGGAGGAGGUCGGGGCUGUGCGCACUGGGUAGCCUGCAGCGUGGACGGAGAGCGACGAGGCGAGGGACCGACGGCCGCUCGGUAGGCGGUACGAGGGGCCUGUGGCCGCUCCGUAGGCGGGGCAGGGCGAGGGGUCGGCUUUGGGUCCUGGGGGGCAAAGAGGAUGGAGAUAGGCUGGAAGGUAGACGAGCACCAGCCCGCGGAGAUAGGAGGAUAGGCCGACGAUAUCCACUUGUUUUGCCCCAAUAGAAGAGUAGAGGAGGGGCUGCCGACAUCUGUUCGUCUCUUUGUGUAAGAAAGAUAGAAGAAGAGAACUAAAAGAACCCUGCAAGCCUAUCAUGAGUAGCCGGUCCAGCUUGUUUUAAGAGCACGUUCCAGCUUGUUCUAACAACCUUAAGGAGAACGAAAAAAUCUUAUCGAAGUUAAGCUACACACGUACGAGUACACACAGCUAUACACACACACGCGAGCGCACGAGACGGCCGUCUCCGUACGUGUAGGAGUAGGAGGGCAACGUCAGGUCUAACCACACGUUCGUAGGCAUGUCUAUUCUUGUAACAACAUUUGAGAUAAUAUAUAAAGUCCCCUUCUAAAGUCUACAACUAUAAGCGGCUGCGAGGGCGGACCGAACGGUCACGGACGGCACGCCAGCUAGAACGAACGCGGCAAAAAGAUGCUGUGUGCUAAACACCUACUCUAACAACCCUCGACUGUGUCGGUGUGUACCAUCGUCCGCCCAUCGCAGACGAGACGACGGUGUGUACCUAAAGAAAGUCCCGGACCCAAAGAGUACGAACGGAUGAAGGUAGUACUCAGUACCGUCUGCUUGGUGUGAACUCCUUGUUCAACGUUGAUUGCUCUCCAGUCGUUGUUCAAGUGAUCAUCUCCAACGACUUCAAGAACUCCUCCAGGCCCUACAGCACGCGCUCGUACAGCAGGUGCCGGACGUGGUAGAACCCGCACUAGAAGAGUUUGAACAGCUACGACAUGGCUCAGUCGUGGACGAAGUUCACGAGGUGUAGCUCCUUCAGCGGGCGGUCUUCCACCAUGAGGGAGACCUGGACAAAGGUUAUGUAGAGUCCACAGUUACCUCGCUCGUGUAACACGUCUUUUCUCCGUUGAAUAAUUAGUUCUACGUUCGCAUCGACUUAUAGUAAACCAAAGUAGAACCCUGCGACAAAACAUACCUUCAUGGAAACGUUUGAGUAGAACAUUCAACAGUUGUUCAGCGACAACUCGGAACCGAAAGGGGUCGUAACGUCCGUAGAGGAAGAAGUCAACCGGUUAAUACAUUCGUACCUAGAAGCGUCGAGUUCGUGCGAAGUGUUUGAGUAACUGGAUGCGUACCUUUACCACCUGGUCAGUUUAACUUUAAGACGUCAGGUAAG
rnacentral:rRNA from 1 species